rnacentral:tRNA from 1 species
UUAGCAGUAGUAUAAUUAGUAUGUCUUCCUUCCAAGAAGGUGGUCCACAAGGGGUGGUUGCUAAA